AGAGACAUUAAUGAUGAAAAAAAAAAGGAAAAAAAAUGUUAAUACAAGAGUUACAAAGACAAAAGUUUUAUUUCUGUCGAAUUUUUUACGCAGUCAUCAGAAGGGUCCAGAUUUUCAUUUGAAAGCUUUUCAUAUACACAUACACAUUGAGUAAAUAUAUAGAUAUUUUAUUAUAUAUGGCUCCAGCAAUGCAGAUAAUGCAUCUAGUAAAAUGUACAAAGCCUGUCUCCCAAAGGAUUGGUGCGCACGAACAAAGUCAACACCUUCUUCAUACCAAGAUAGUUAAUGCAUUUUGCUCCAUAUAUUUUCAACAAUGUUGUUUGUGGUGACUGUUUAAAUUUAUUUGUGGGACAAAUUUAAAGACAUUGGUAGCACCAUCUGUACUCACAGCUAGAAAGCUGUCUACCGUUAAUUCACCCACACAUCUCAGUCGACAACAGUAGCUAUUCUUAGAGAAUUUUUUUUAUUUAAAAAAAAAAACAAAACAAGAAGAAUCUACACAAUUUCCCAGAAGAAGAAGAAGAAGGAAAAUGGAAAGGAGAGUAGUAAAGGAUCGUCGUACUUGCAUAUAAUAUAUGACCUUGUGGUUGUACUACUUGCACGUCACCAAUGAACGGAUGCCGACACUGUCUCAGCCACAAGCAUUAGACAUGAGACAUUUUUAUUGCAGCUUACCACAAAUAUUAUUAUAGAUGAUUUUUUAUUUCAUCAUAAUUAUACGUGUUAAGCUCUUAUGGUCUGUUAAUUAAUUGCUUGAUAUCUGUUUUUGAUUUACACGUUAUUGGAGCUAUUAAAAAAUAUAUGAGACCAAUCAACUAAAUUACGUCUCAUCUCUUGUUGAAAUUUGUAGAGUAAAUAGAGGCUCACUUCGGCUCGUCUCAAAAAAAUUCGCACGGAUCUUGUAACUAUGGUCUUGCAAAAAUUGCCGCCAAAUUAUACUAAGCUUGUCUUGGUAUUUAUACGAAUUAAUGCAACCUCGAGAAUUCCGAUAAAAGUAUUCAAGGAGAGUUGAAAAUUGCCAGAAGCCAUGGCAUUCUCGUGACGAACAGUCAGCGUAAUUUAAACUUUUCUUUUAUUCAAAAGUUGUGUGUACAAUUUUGUUCAUACGUGCUCAACGUAUCCAAAGAAUUUUUCAUGUUAACUUGCAAAGCUCACAUAUACUGCAGAGAUGGUAAACUUCUCACUGGAUAACUUUACUUAAACGUCAACACACAAGGCUUUAAUGCAAUUGUUUAUCUGAGAACUAUCAGAGAAGUCUUCGAAUGAAAAGAUGCCUAGGGGCAAUCCUCGUUCCCGUUCACGUCCUCGUGAUGCUUCUGGAGGCCACAUAGUCAUUUGAAACCCUUGUUUAUGAUGAAAAAUUUCCAACCAAGUUAUUUAAACUUGACCAUAAAGAUUCUUGCAUUAAAUCGAAUCCAUCAUGAUCCAUAAUUUGAAGACUAUUAUUACAUAACAGUAUAUAUUCAAAUGUGUUGGGUGUGUCAGAUUAUAUAAUUUUCCAUGAGAGAAGACAUGAGCGUCAACAUUAUUAGCAAAGACAGUAGAAAAAAAAAUUAUUCAAUGAUGGAAAAAAUAAAAAUAAAUAAAAAGAGAAUGAGCAGUUAUAAAAAAGUUCAACAAGAUAAAACUUGAGUAAAAAAGAUAAUGCAAAGUAGCAUUGAAGAAAGGACAAGGUCAUUUUACAUUAUGUACUUGGUGGAAUUCAAAUUUGAAUCGACAAUCGGAGCUAGAGAUUUUUUUACUUUUAAUUUUUUGUUUUUUUUUUUUGUCAGUGCAAGUUCUCAGAACAAAUAAUUGCACGAGGUAUUUUGCAAGGAUUGUAUGUGGUUGACUUCAUGAAGUACCAUGUUCCCCUCUUGGCUCGUAACUGUCGGCAUGCACCAACAAAGUAAGUUGACGACAGCAUAACAUAGGACAGUGUGGGGCUUCUUCUUUCAAGGCAAAGUGGAUAUGUAUUGUGCAGUAGUAGUGCCAUGUUGUAUAACUAUUACUAUAGGCAUUUAUACAUAUAGAGGAGGUAAAGAAAUCCGGGCGCGGAACCACCAAGCCAUUCGAUAGUGCAGUAUUGGCUGCUGGAACGUGAUUCAAUUUGGUGUCUCAUUCCCAACAGACGAUGCCUCCUUAGUUCGACUCGAGAAUACUGGUAUAUGUGCAAUACAUUGAGUAUGGCAAGCCUUUCGCAUCGUAUCAAUAUUCCAAUAGGCUUUCAAUUUAAAUUAUCGACGAUAUCAAUGUGGACGGAAAAAAAGAAGAAAAAAAAAAAAAAAAACAGGAGCCAUCGAUCUACAUCACUGUAUCAUUCAUCCAUCCACACGUACACAAAAUGAAUGAUAAACUUAUGUAUGUUGUUUUUUUUUAUUUUUAUUUGAUUUUUUUAUUUUUCUUUUCCUCGUUAUUUUUCGAGUUGAUAGACUUCGGGUCAAUGGUUUCUUUUAGUGUUUUUUUGAAUUUUUUCUUAGAGAAAAUAAAUUUUGAAUGCAUGCUUAGCAUAUGCUUGUGAAUUUUUUUUUUUAAAUACAAAAAUGUAAUUUUCAGCUUUAAAUGUAAGCUAUCGUCAUCUAAAAUGUUUAUCAUAUGAAAACAUAAAUUCCAGCAUAUUAUGAGACAGUUUAGUUUCAAGUAUAUAUGUGUUUACAUUGACGCCAUUAGCGUGGAACUCAAGUUAAAUGUUUAUACGAUUGGAUGAAGAACAGAAAAGCCAGUUGAUCGAGCAACCACAAAAUGUGCGAAUAAAAAGUCCUAAAAUAUUUUUAAGCUGCAACUUUGUUUGAGGCAUGCCAACAUACAUAUAUGUAUAUACGAGAAUCGAGAUAGAAAGAGUGAGACUAACUUGUGCAAACAAGUUCGCAGAGACGCGACAAGUUGAAGAAAUCGACUGCAUUACUUAAUGGCGUGCAUGGUCAGUCGUUUACCUCCAUCCAGAAGGGUAUAUGGUGGUUAGGGAAGAUAAAAAAAAAUCAAAAAAAGCAAAGAUGAGUGAAAGAGAAAAGAAGAGAUAAAGAGAGAGAUGAACUCAAGUUCCUUACAGCAAAAAGGCUAAAGGCGGCGCGCGAGCAUGUACGUGACUCCCGUGUAAGUCAAUGAUAAUUACGUCACCAUGGUGGUUUCUGCGUGUCCGCACGAGGUCGAAUUGUAAGCGUGAAUUUUUCGUCAUUUUUACUUCAAUUACAUUCUCAUAUCAAUUUUUUUCUCAUUCUGAUGUUUUCAUGUUUAACAAUACCAACAAACAUAUAUCUUUCAACCUUUUUUUUUUUUUUCAAUAAAUUAAACCUGUAUGUCAAAGCCAUAUAAAAACUACACGCCAGAUAAAUUGGUAGAAAAACUUAUUCAGCACAUUUUUAUUUUUUUCAUUUUAUUAUACGUAUAUUAUUUUAUAAAUUUUUUUUAUUUUUUCAUUUUAAUUUUGAAUAUGCAUCGUUAUAUACAGACUUUAUUCAGUGGUCAACAAAAUGCAUAAACAUUUGUAGAGAGAUAAUAGUUUUUUCCGGAUAUAGAGAAUAUGAAUUAAUCAAGGGGUUAUAAAUGAUUAAAUUUACAGUGAUGACACAACCAGGAAUGUAUGGUUUACAGUAUUCAAUAAUUCACAGUGUACAAGGACAAAAUAAACUUGAUAUACCUUUUCAUGGAUAACGUGAUUGAGUGUAGACGCACAUAUAUGGUUAAUAUCUGUGUGCGGUUUUUUUUUUAAUUUUUAUUUUUUACUAUUUGGAUAGAGACGAUCUAAAAAUUCAGCAUCGCACCGAUUCUUUCCUUUUGAAAGAUGAAAAAAUAAAAUAAAAAAUAAAUAAAUACCUGUUUGUUAUCUUAAUGGGAUGAAGAAGAACAAAAAAGCACUCUGACGCCUUGAGACUAAAAAUUUGUUGUGACUAUAUACAUACAGGUAUAUUGUUGAAGUAAAUAUAUAUAUUUCUGGGCUGUUAAAGAUGGCUUUAUACGGUUUGGCGACGGGUUUCGAUAAAUUAACAACUUUUACGAUCAAAUGAUAUUCAAUAAUAACAAACAGCCCACUGCAUUAUGCUAUCAUUAUAGUCUAUUUUAUGGAUUUGGCCUGGGCGUAUUUACGAUCAACCAUUAAUUCACGGAUUUUGCAACAAAACUUUGUCUGCAACUCAAUCGUUGUAUAUGGUGCGUCAAAUGCAAGUGCCCACCGGGGUGUUGGGCGCGUGUUAAUGUUGUACGAGCCUGACUUGGUCGUUCUUCCACAUUCUUCGAUCCUGUACCAUUUUGCUGGUAUCGCGGUUAACAACCAAGUAGUAAGAAGCAAAGAAUUGCAAGGUAGUAGAGCGAGGACAAGACGCCAACUGCAGCUGAGAAAUAAAAAGAAACAAAUAAUCAGGAUAUUAUGGUAUGAAGAUACUGCUGUUGGCUUGUUGAUGAUGGUCGAACCCUUUAUAUUUCAAAUGUGUGUUGGUCCAGUACAACACGAUGGACGAAUCAUUGUAGACUGGACGACGUGUGGAGAUGCUGAUGGAGGUAAAACCAGAGGUCACCGACUCUCGGAUUUUGUAUUUUCUCAUUAAAAAUAAAAAUAAAAAAAAAAACAGAAAAACUACAUUACUACCCUUUGGAAUGAAUAUUCUGACUUUAUAAAUUACAUGGAAUGAUAAAAAAAAAAAAACAACAAAAAGCUGCUGAGUUUUCGUGCUUUGGAUGCAUACACAAUGUAGUUCAUGACUACUAAUCGAGUCGUGUCAGUUAGGUUUACUCGGUUUCUUUCAUGGUGUUAAUGAAAACAUUUCGAAGUAAGAAAUAAUUUAAAUCAGUACAUGAGAACAUUAGUUUACAAAAAAAAAAACAAGGUAUAUGGAUUUCUUGGAGUAAAUAGUAUCGGCCCUGGUUCACAUUUGCCAAGAGCAUAAUGCACCGCUCGAAACAGUUUAUACAUACGAUCUGUUUUUCCAUCACGAAAAAUAAAACAAAAUACAAAAAUCUCGCGCCCCAACGGUGCAUUUAUAAUAUACACGCAAGGGCAUGUGUAUCCAUACAGACAACGAAGCUGGGCACCAAGGUACUGCAAGUUAACCGACGCGAGAGUUUUUCAUAUGAUUCCCAGAUAUGGCACCUGUCCAAACUCAUCGAUCGUAAUGCUUCGCGGUGGAAGAAGUUGCCGCCGUGAGGGAUAUUAAGUUUCUUUUUAAGAGUGGCUUCCUCCAUUAUUAGUCCAUGUACUUCAUCACUGAAAUUCCAUUAAGAGUUCUUUUUGAGCUUUCUUUGGUGAGGUGUUAUAUUUUUUUUGGUACUUAUUGAGAGGCGGAGAAUAUACAUAUAUAUAUAUUUGCAUCAACGAAAAAUCUUACUUUAAAUCCUUUGAGACCCAAUCGGUUCGUUUCUUCAACCGAGGGCGUCGAUACCAAUUAAAUUAAACACGCUGGAGGAUCUUUUCGUGAUGUCGGUUCAGGUGUAUUCCACUGAGAAAUAUCGAUCUUGAAAUGCGUGGGAGUAUAAAACCUUGUAAACUAACAGUCGUGAGUUAAGGGGGUAUGACACCUUGCGGCACCAACUUUUCACCCUUCGUGUGUAAACUUGCUUUAAUAAGCCGACCGCUCUUUGAAAUGAUGGAAGGCCUAUGUAAUUCGUUUGCUUUUGAAAACCAGAAGAUGUAAUGUGGCACAUUUAUGACACACCUCAGUGCACAGUUGGAGUGUAUAUGAAAGGAUGUCUUAUGCUGAUGAAUAACAGUCGGUGAGUCAAGAGCAUGAUGCAGAAAGACGAGGUAUGAAAUAUUUAUGGUCAUUCUACCGAGCAUUUCUAUACAAUCAGACUCCCGCAUUCAAAAUUUCAGUCUCGAUAUCCACUAUAGAUCUAUGAGAAAAAUAACUAGUAGGAUUUUUUAUUUUUGUUUUUUUUUUUAUUCAAAUAAAAUUGUUUUAUGUCAAGAGCCAUAAAAAAUUUUCCAUAAACUGUGAAUUGCAUUUGAUUGCUAGAUAAACAAAAAUAAUGAAAAAAAAUGAAUAAAUACAUGUUAUUAUAAAUUUAAUGGAACUCAAACGUCAAAACAUCAUCGUAAUAAAAAAAGAGUUUUACGCUUAAUACGAAUAGUUCAUCUAACCAGGUAGAUAAUUAACAAAAAAUCAUCAAAGAGCUUGUUUGAAGUUUCGAAAAUAAUAUCUUCCUGACAUCUCGAACUCGCUUUAGUAAGAGGAUUCCAAUUGCUUUGCUACCAACGACUUGAAGCGUAUGAAUACCAAGCGUGCAGAAAAUUAGAGGAAAAACAAAAGAUGAAAAAUAUUACUGCUACUUUGCCAGUAUAAAUACAAAAAAAUUCUACAGAGAAUGUAUGCAAGUGACAAAUACCAAUAUUGAUGAUGUCAAAAGCGGAGGGAAGCUCAUAGUAAAAGCGUUUGUUUACUGCUUCGAUGCAGCGAUCGAAACAUGCUCGGCAGGACAUUUAACUGCACAAUGGCAUCAUGUCUAUAUGCGGUUUGACAGGAUGAGGAAGUAGUGAAGAGACAAAGUCAGUGUUAUAGUACAAAACAAGAUAAGAGAUGGUGUGCCAAUUGCUAAAAUGUUAAAGACCUUUUAUCAUUGUGGAGCACAUCGAUAAUCGAUUUGUGUAUAUAUACAUAUGAAACCUAGUUAAGUCCAGCCAAAUAUUUACUCGUUGUCAUCGGGUACAUGUUGCCUAUACCCAAAGACUUGGAUACACUCUGUAGACGAUGUCUCAACGAUCUGUUGACGUGUUCUCCCAAGUAAUUGGUCACACAUGUCAGGUGACAGUUUGAUUAACCAAUCAAGCAGUUUUACGAAGUGCUUGGCGUGCAUAUAAUUUGUAUACGAGAGAAGACAAAACUAUUGCUGCUUGAAUGUUGGAAGAAUUCUCGGCGGUGGCAGCACUUCCUUGUUAGUAAUACUUUCAGUACAAAAAUAAGUGGGGAGAUGCAAUGUCUACAUUAUAGCGCAGAAGCAAAAUACAAUGCAACAUAAAGUUUGCAUUUGAGAGCUGUGCAUUGAGCUGAAUGGAACUAAAAAAUUUUAAAAAAUCAUCAUUUCAAUUUUCAACACAAUUUAUUUAACCUGAAACUUUUUAUUUUAUUAUUAAACUCGAUUAAAUAUUAUUUUAAUAAAAAAUAAUUUAUA